ACGAAACCGAUCGUUCCCGGUAGUGGAACAGCUGAUGUCUUGUUUUAUCUGAAGAUCUGAGCAGCAGGUCUUCAGAUAACGCGCAGUAAAUUCUGUAUUUCUCCGUUAGAAGCGUCUGUCCUCACUGUUUCUUCCUCACAGGAACAAUGGUGAACUGCUGUGGUCUGCUCACUGACAAGAAGGAACCAGUUCCUCUGAAGAGCAUUGAUGCUCAACUGGAGGUGAAGGACCAUGUAGCUACUCUGGUCUCCACUCUGAACUAUGAGAACAAGGAGGACAAACCUCUAGAGGCUGUGUUUGUCUUCCCUCUGCCUGGAGAUGCUGCCGUGUGUCAUUUCAGUGCUCAGAUUGGAAAAACACACAUUGUAGCUGAGGUGAAGAAGAAACAGCAGGCUCAGGAGGAGUAUGAUGAUGCCCUGAGCUCCGGUCAGCAGGCCUUCCUGUUGGAGGAGAGUGACGAGAGUCCAGAUAUCUUCUCCAUGAAAGUGGGCAGUCUGCCUCCAGGAGAGAGCGCCUCCAUCAGGCUGGAGUACGUCACUGAGCUGGCUGUGCAGGCUGAUGAUGGGUUGAGGUUCUGUCUGCCUGCUGUGCUCAACCCUCGAUACCAACCUCAGGGUAGUGAAGGUUCCAGUGUCCAGGUGACCUCAGUUCCAGCCUCUCUGGUGCCCUACAGUCUGUCCUUUUCUGCCCGAGUGUCCUCUCCUCGUCCAAUCUCUAAAAUAGAGUCCAGUUGUUCCCUGGAGCCUCUUCAGUACCUCAACGCUGAUCAAACUCUGGCGACGGUUAAAUUGGGUGGAGGACACAAGUUUGACAGAGACAUUGAGCUACUGAUUUAUUACAAAGACGCCCACCAGCCCUCUGCUAUAGUGGAGGCAGGACAGGCCUCUGCCGAACCUGGCUCUCUGAUGGGUGAUCCAGUGGUGAUGGUUAGCCUUUACCCUGAGUUCCCCCAGUCAGUGAUGUCGUCACUCGCCGCCUGUGGAGAGUUUGUGUUCUUGGUGGAUCGAUCAGGAAGUAUGCGCCGCGCCAUGAACCACAACACACCGCAAGAAACUCGCAUUAGCAGUGCACGGGACACUUUGCUGCUGCUGUUGAAGAGUUUACCAAUGGGCUGCUACUUCAACAUUUACAGUUUUGGUUCUUCCUUUGAGCACAUCUUCCCUAAGAGUGUGGAGUACAGUGAGAAGACCAUGGAGGAGGCUCUGAAUAAGGUUGAAAAGAUGGAGUCUGAUCUUGGAGGAACGGAGAUUCUUCAACCUCUCAAGCACAUUUACAGCCAAGCCUGCAUUCCCAAACAUCCUCGACAGUUGUUUGUCUUCACUGAUGGAGAGGUGGGAAACACCAAAGAAGUUACUGAUCUUGUUAAGAAGAAUGCAGGCUCCCACAGGUGUUUCUCUUUUGGGAUUGGAGAAGGAGCCAGCUCUGCUCUCAUCAACGGGAUGGCCAAAGAGGGCAGAGGUCACGCUCAGUUCAUCACUGGGGCUGAUAGGAUGCAACCAAAGGUGAUGCAGUCACUCAGGUUUGCACUGCAGCCAGUUGUGGAGAACAUUUCUGUCUCUUGGGAUUUACCAAAGGGAGUGUCUGCCACCGUUCUCUCUCCACCCAUUACAGCUAUUUUUCAGGGUCAAAGGUCACUGAUUUAUGCUCAGCUAACUCUACAGAGUUCAGAGGCAACAGAUGGCAGUGUGACAGUGAGAUACAGCCUGGCAGGUCAUCCCUCUCAGAGCCAGUUUCACUUCAAUCUCAAACAUGCAGAUGACUCUAGAUUAACAGUCCACAGACUGGCUGCUCGCACUAUGAUUCGCUCCCUGGAGUCGGAGGAGAGGACACAAAGGAAACAGAAUGAUGAAGAAAUGAAGAAAAAGGUGGUGGAGCUCAGUGUCCAAUCAGGAGUGAGCAGUUCUUUCACUGCCUUCAUAGCUGUUAACAAAGACAGCGGCAAGUCCGUUGAAGGACCACUGGUGCGCAGAAAUGUACCGACACCUUUCUAUGGAAGGAACAUUAUGACUACAGCUUGUUUUGCUCCACAAAUGGCUGGCAGGAGCUAUUUCAGCGCACCUCCACAAAUGGGAGAAAUGAUGCUCAGAUCAGCUUUACGAUUGCGCAGCAAGUGUCGAGUCGAUUCUCCACGAAAGGAUAUAAAUUUUUGGGCUGUAAUACAAUCAGAAGCCUGUGUGGAAGAAUCCAGAAAGCCAGAAGCUGUGGUACCCAGUAAAGAUGCUCUGCUGCAGCUGGUGUCCCUGCAGAAGGCAUCUGGCUACUGGAUACUUGAUGCAAUUCUGGCUGCUGUGCUGGGAAAGACCGGCGAGCAAGUGGAAAAGGCAAAGCCACAGUCGGGCAGCGAGGCCAAAGGGCACAUCAUCAGACACGACCAGAGACGCUCUCCAACUGGACUUGGUGCAAUCCGCCAAACAGUCAGAGUGGAUCCGUACAGCAGAGCAAGACGGUGGAGAUCUGUCAGCAUCCUGUCAGACAGCAAUGACAAUGACCACUGAAGGAGGAGUCUGUACUAAAGCUUGAAAAUAUGAAUGAAAUACUUUCUUUUGCUCACCAAAGGGACCACAGUUAAAAAUGUCACUGCGUAGUUUGAUUCUAGUGAGUUCAGUGCGUGAACAGUGAGCGUGAGCGUCACAGUCGCUCCAGCCUGAGCCGUGGCGGGAGUGAGGAGGCUCACCUCUGCAUCAAAAGAGUCUUGUUCCUCAACAAACAACCUGGUUAACAAAAAGUCCACACUUGCAUUAACGUGAGUGACAAUUUCUAACAUAGAGUGAAAGAAUCUCCUUAAAGAGCUGAUUAAAGAGCAGAUUAAAGAGCAGAUUAAUUUCUUUCCUGUCUGCGUACCCGUGUGGCCCCCUCGUCAGAAGAUAACCACAGUCAUCAUCAGCUGUUAGAUUAAAAAGUUGAGCAGGACCGUGGUUGUAGAUGGAGAAGAUCACCACUGUGCGGUGGCCUGGUAAGAGCUGGGGGGUUGACAUCAUCUGAGGAGAUUAAGAUGCACAAAGUGUUGAGUGAACUAUUAAAACUAUAGAAAAGGCAAAGCCACAGUCGGUCAACCAUGAAGUGUGGGCCUCCAUUCUGGCUCUGAUUUGGCUUCAUGGUUUUAAGAUGGAUGCAAAAGAGGAAUGGGAGCUUCUGGCUAUGAAGGCUGCAUCAUGGAUU